GGUCCCGUAGUGGAGCGGUUUAACACGCCUGCCUGUCACGCAGGAGAUCGCGGGUUCGAAUCCCGUCGGGACCGCCA
rnacentral:tRNA from 1 species